GGUGGUACAGCUCAGUGGUAGAGCACAUGCUUAGCAUGCAUGAGGGCCUGGGUUCAAUCCCCAGUACAUCCA
rnacentral:tRNA from 1 species